GAACAGAGCUCAGCUCGAAAAGAAAAACAAAUGGAAGAGAAAAAAAAAACAAGUUUGUGAAUUGCAUAACUAUCAUCUUUCGCUUAAUUUGGUAAGUUGUUGAAAAUUUCUUGCGAUAUUCUUUAAGAGAACCGUCAGUCCCUAUCUCUCUACAACCAGUUACGGAGCGAUACAAUAAAAAUACAUUGCCUGGUUACUCCAAGGGCAAAGCGUCGUGGUUACAGCCUUACAGGUUCUAUGCCACCUGUAGUGAUGUUUUCCUGUUUCAACGGUUGCUUCAAUUCCUUAACACUGAGCUAUCUGUGCCCAUCACAGAAAUCCAAUUACAAAACAGAACAAAUGUAGGUAUACAACUACAAAUUUCAACUUAUGUAAUAACCAUGUCAGCUUCAUGCUAACCAGUUUUAACAUAAAGAACAUUUCUUUGACCAUGAGAUGUUAAAGGACAACAGGUUGUUGAAUCUUAUGAAAAGGCAGUCUAUGAAGCCAGUGACACCCAAAUAAUAAAUGUAUGGAGUUCACAAUGUAAAGUAACAGUAUAAAUAGGCUAGCCCAUAGAGCCCAAACAGAAGGACUAUUCCGAGAAAAUUAAGCUUCAAUCUGACAAAAUUUUCGUUUUUCAUGUUCUAUUUUCAUGUAUUUGAUUUAAAGCGCUUAAAUGUAUAAAUGAUUCAAAAACUUA